UAGGGAAUCUUCCGCAAUGGGCGAAAGCCUGACGGAGCAACGCCGCGUGAGUGAUGAAGGUCUUCGGAUCGUAAAACUCUGUUAUUAGGGAAGAACAAAUGUGUAAGUAACUAUGCACGUCUUGACGGUACCUAAUCAGAAAGCCACGGCUAACUACGUGCCAGCAGCCGCGGUAAUACGUAGGUGGCAAGCGUUAUCCGGAAUUAUUGGGCGUAAAGCGCGCGUAGGCGGUUUUUUAAGUCUGAUGUGAAAGCCCACGGCUCAACCGUGGAGGGUCAUUGGAAAAUGGAAUACUUGAGUGCAGAAGAGGAAAGUGGAAUUCCAUGUGGAGCGGUGAAAUGCGCAGAGAUAUGGAGGAACACCAGUGGCGGAGGCGACUUUCUGGUCUGUAACUGACGCUGAUGUGCGAAAGCGUGGAGAUCAAACAGG
rnacentral:rRNA from 1 species